UAACGGCGAGUGAAGCGGCAAGAGCUCAAAUUUGAAAUCUGGCUCCUUUGGAGUCCGAGUUGUAAUUUGUAGAGGGUGCUUUGGUGUCGGCCAUGGCCUAAGUUCCUUGGAACAGGACGUCACAGAGGGUGAGAACCCCGUACGUGGCUGCUGGCCUUCACCAUGUAAAGCCCCUUCGACGAGUCGAGUUGUUUGGGAAUGCAGCUCUAAAUGGGAGGUAAAUUUCUUCUAAAGCUAAAUAUUGGCCAGAGACCGAUAGCGCACAAGUAGAGUGAUCGAAAGAUGAAAAGCACUUUGGAAAGAGAGUCAAAAAGCACGUGAAAUUGUUGAAAGGGAAGCGCUUGCAGCCAGACUUGCUCGUAGUUGCUCAUCCGAGCUUUUGCUCGGUGCACUCUUCUGCGGGCAGGCCAGCAUCAGUCCGGGCGGUCGGAUAAAGGCUCUGGGAACGUAGCUCUCUUCGGGGAGUGUUAUAGCCCAGGGUGUCAUGCGACCAGUCUGGACUGAGGUCCGCGCAUCUGCUAGGAUGCUGGCGUAAUGGCUGUAAGCGGCCCGUCUUGAAACACGGACCAAGGAGUCUAACAUCUAUGCGAGUGUUUGGGUGUCAAGCCCGGGCGCGCAAUGAAAGUGAACGGAGGUGGGAACCCUUCGGGGUGCACCAUCGACCGAUCCUGAUGUCUUCGGAUGGAUUUGAGUAAGAGCAUAGCUGUUGGGACCCGAAAGAUGGUGAACUAUGCCUGAAUAGGGUGAAGCCAGAGGAAACUCUGGUGGAGGCUCGCAGCGGUUCUGACGUGCAAAUCGAUCGUCAAAUUUGGGCAUAGGGGCGAAAGACUAAUCGAACUAUCUAG
rnacentral:rRNA from 1 species